rnacentral:rRNA from 1 species
UGACCGCUGGCGGCGUGCCUAAUACAUGCAAGUCGAGCGACCGGACGAGAAGCUUGCUUCUCUGAUGUUAGCGGCGGACGGGUGAGUAACACGUGGAUAACCUACCUAUAAGACUGGGAUAACUUCGGGAAACCGGAGCUAAUACCGGAUAAUAUUUUGAACCGCAUGGUUCAAAAGUGAAAGACGGUCUUGCUGUCACUUAUAGAUGGAUCCGCGCUGCAUUAGCUAGUUGGUAAGGUAACGGCUUACCAAGGCAACGAUGCAUAGCCGACCUGAGAGGGGGAUCGGCCACACUGGAUCUGUGACACGGUCCAGACUCCUACGAGAGGCAGCAGUAGGGAAUCUUCCGCAAUGGGCGAAAGCCUGACGGAGCAACGCCGCGUGAGUGAUGAAGGUCUUCGGAUCGUAAAACUCUGUUAUUAGGGAAGAACAUAUGUGUAAGUAACUGUGCACAUCUUGACGGUACCUAAUCAGAAAGCCACGGCUAACUACGUG